AGAUCCCUUCCUUCGAUAAAGUCAAUGACAGACCUCACUCGCAGGACAGCGUGUGAUGGCAGAGCCGUGCUGUCAGCUGUAAGCUGUGUUGGCAGUGCCGCGCUGUCAGCUGUAAGCGCUGUGUACUCACCGGGGCUUCAGCAGACGUGCAUUCUGAUUGCCUCCGGUGCACCUGCUUUCGUGAUCAAGGAUCAUUUAAUCCCGUAACUUCCCUUGUCCUGAUGGAAGAAGAGGGGAAGGUGAAUUACUCCUCAGAGUAAGAGCAUCUUUUUCAGUGCAUGCAACAGUUGUGCUGAGGCUCUCUGUAUCAUACAGCCACGGGCUGCUGAGAUUUAUCCCCUCAGAGCUGGGGACAGCGGGGUGGGAGUUCUGAAUUACCUCGCGUUGAGCCGAUUGAAAUCAGCAGUGCUUUAUAUAGAUUUUAAUAUCAGAGAGAGAAUAAUAGAACAGGAUUAAAAAUGAAUUUUUUUCCUAAGUAUAUAAACGUUUUCCAAGCCCUCUUGUUUUUAAUUUUUCUUCUGUUGCAUAUCACUUCUACCUUUCUGUUGAAAGCUCCUUUAACAAAACUGGGUUUUUGUUACAGCUGUUGGUAAUUAUGCAGGCAACACGCGUACACAGGGGAAACUGCAUGGGCCUCACACGCUGUAAAAGUCAAGAUCUUCCAUAAAUGCAACUACGUUCCUUUGUAGAAGAAUAACUAACUUGAGGAAAAUACAUUCAAAUGUCAAAAACCAGUUAAAGAGAUAUUUAGCAAUUCUUAGCAAGAGCUGUGCAAAGUCAAAUCCUGCCCAGCUCCGCCUCUCAAGCACCUUCUGGCACAACAGUCUUGCACCCACUGGGUAGGUAGCUGAUAAUAGUGAUGCAAUUUUCACAUCACCUCAGCUGGGCCUCACGGAGAAAGUCUGCCCGAUGGUGUGGAUACAGAAGUUUCUAACAAGCCUGUAGAUGAAAUCAUAAAAUAAAGUCUCUACCAGUUAAAAGCUGCAUGAACGCUAUUUGAAUGGUCUAACAGUACUAUUUGUUUGUACAGCAUAAACAUCAUCUGCAUAUAGCAGCUCAGCGAGCCCAAAGCUGGGUCUGGCAGUGCCAUCUACCCAGGUGACGGUGCACCUUUCUGUCCCCAGGGCCUCCUGGUCUGCAGGACACACACCUCACUGCGAGGCCCAGACGUUGCUCACACACUUGUUGCACGGCCAUGUGAGGAUCUGCUUAGGUGUCAGUGCACCUGCUUUGCAACAGGCACCUCUGAAGCAGAGAGGAUUGGCUGCCCUGUGCACCUGACUGUGAGUGCCACAGCUGCCAACACCUAUGGCUGCCCCUUGAAAGGGUGGCCAGGCAAGGGAGAUGGGCUGUGUGUGUCCCCAGAAGUCACCUCUUCUGCUUCUAAAGGAAAGAUGGAGGAGAGAAUACUCUUUCCACACAGCUAGAAAGCCUCAGAGAGCUAAUCCAUCAUAAUUUUGGCUUCUUAGCUCUCGGCUGGAAAUGAGAGGAAACUGUAUAGCUGUGAAGAGCUGGGCCAAUGAUAAUAGUUAUGUUUGUUUUCCUAGAGAAAAGCUCAUAGAUGAAAGAGCCAUGGUUCCAUCCCCCAGAGAAGCAGGAACAGGUAUUUGAUAGCCAAAACUAUUGAGGAUGAAAUGCAUUCCAGCCUCUUGGUGAGCCCAGCCGCCACCUUCCUCCUCUCUGUAUCUUCCAAAGUGGCUGUAAUUCUAAGGUCAUAUAGCACUAAGCAGGCAGAGAAAAGCACAAGAGACAACCAGAAGUUGCAUAAUUCCCAAACUGAUGGGAAGAAAAUGUUUUUGAGAAUCCCACUAAAAUGAAUGCCAAAAUUGUUCUUAAGCCUUACUUAAGCUUUUAUUUAGGGUAUUGGAUAGAUGGCUGCUGUCAGUAGGAAACACUGACCAGUAUUGAGGCUACCUAAACAGAGUCCCGAGUGCUUGUGUGUAUUUUAGGCACAUAGCAGCUCCCUGGUCAAGAAUUCUUUCCUUGAACUGAAAAGUCAUGUCCUUUGGUGCAGUCUCAUAACCAAAACUGCCAUUGUAACAGAGGUCCAAGCAUCUCCUUCCCUAGGUGUAGGUGGUUUCAACUCCUGAAGUGGUUAUAAGAAGCAAUGCCCCGUAGAACACGAAGCUUAGGAGGAUGAGUAAUAUCUGAAGUGUGGAGGCAGUGAGAGAUGACCCGCAUAUUAUGUGCUUUUUAUUUAAUAGUUUAUAAAUAAAUAUCAGCUUUCCCCAAACUGUCCCUCAGCCCAGCAAUUAUAUGUUGGCUGAUUUCUUGUUAGUGCUGUUCUUUUCUAAUAACAAACUGUUCCCAAAGCCUCACAUACAGAGUUAGACAAUCAAAGCACUGUGUGUGACUUUCCAGUUAAUUCAUUCAGCUAGCUGCAAUUAAAACAAUACAAUUCAAAGCCUUGUGUGUUUCCCUGCAAAAAUACGAACCUUUGGUCGUUACUAUUAAUAUAUACAACCUACAAGAAAGAGUUAACAGAGCCCCUUUGUCUUCCCUGCUGUAGUAAUUUUUUUAUGCUUUUCUGUAGAUGUCCCAGCAGUCAUUAAUAUUUCUUUCAGUCGCUGUUCUUCAAAAGACACAUGCUUUUCAUUCAAUUGCACAGAAAGAAAAGGAAUUCGGUGGGCCAGAUUCCCUCUGUGGCCAGAUCCAUUCACUACAGCUGCCUGGGGAGGCAUCUAGGUGAAGGGCUAUCGUCAAGAGGAAAAUCGAACUUAGAAGGGAGGAGGUCACCAUUUUUGCAGAGGUGCAGAAGGGAACAGAAGCUAUAUCCUGCCCCAUGCUACAACGUUCGGGUAUUCUAAUCGAGCAUCUGUGGCUGUCUCCCACACUAUCAAGCUCCUUAGAUACUGGACAUAUUUCCAUCAACCAAGAGACUGAGCAUAUCGUGCUCAAAAAGAGUACUCAACGGCAUGAAAAAGGGGAUUAAAAAGCAAAGAACCAAAACCAGCAUCUCUUUUCCAGAAGGGUGAAAAUAUGCCAAGCCCAGUUCUAACUACAGAAAUACUUUCCAGUAUUUUCUUUCUUUCCAGUUACUGCAGUUCUACAAAGAUGUUAUUUGGUGACAGAUGAAAAGGAAGGCAAUUUGGUGAACAAGAUACCUAUUCCAAAGAUCUCCUGAUUAAAAGAAAGGCUAAUAUCUUACUCCUCACACUCCUGACAUGACCGUAGGCUUGAAGAGUCUUGCAAUCUGUAUAUAAUUUGAAUGAAGGAAGUCCAGUUGAAAGACUACAUCUCUAAUUGUUAAUGAACGUUUCCAGCAACAGUUUCACAGCAACAAUAACAAAAAAAAAUUCUCUGCUUGGAAGAGGUUUUCUUCCAAAUGUGUUCUCUUAGCUUAAGUUGCUAUAACAGAGAUAGCACUAGGCAGAUAGCAACUGUAUGUGUUCUAUAAUAAGUAUACUUUUCAUAAGGCAUUUCAAGGCAAACAGAUUACUAACACAUUUUAAAAGUUAAACUAUGUAUAUCAAGGACCACACUAUUGCAGCAAGCUAUAUACAGUAAGGCACUGUCCAUGAAAUCAAAGAAAUAUUUCAUAUCACAUUAAUACACUGACAUUAUUGCCUGACCUAUAAAUACUGAUAAUAUUUUCAUUAUCAUCUACAUUUAACCUUCUUUAUCCUUUCAAAUGCCCUUAUGCCCAAUACGUGAAAACAUGUGAUAGAGUUCCACAUAGUAAGUCCAGAAAUCACAUCAAGGAAGUUCUUUAUUGGUUUCUUUCAAUGACUUUCAGAUUAAAUCUGCUCAUUUUAUAAAUGCAGUAAAGGUUUUUGUUAAGUGUCUAGUCUAAAAACACAUGGUUGAAGUUAGUAGGUUUUUUCAAUCCAGCAACAAAGGACCCUGCAACUAGAACAAAGUUAAUAACUGCUGAUGACAUACAUGCUAGAAGAAAAAAAACAAAACAAAACAAAAAAAAACCCAGUGCCUCACUCCUUAGUAUCAGAAGAAGAAAAUCAUACUUUAGAACUGAAAGAAAAUUAUGGCGUACACAAAAAGAACAGGUUUGUAUAGAAAACUAUCAACCUUUCACCUACUCACCUUUCAGGCAUUUGCUUCAUCAAACUCCCAAGUAUCAGUGCAAGAAUGAGUAUAAUUACCAGAAUGCCAAGGUAAGAAACAGGCAGACUUUGUAAAUCUGUUCACAGUAGUGUUCCAGAUUGGUGCUAAAAUAAGAGUUAUGAGCUACGUUCAUUUUAAGUAAAUGUAAGAAUAUCUAUACUCAGCUCAGACCUUCUUUAGUCAUCAUCUAUUUGGGAAGAAUGGAAGGAAUUACUGCUUCCCUAGAAGAGAAUUCAUUUUUCUCAGUUACAGAAUGUGAAAGUGAACAAACUCUGGCCUUUCUCCAGUUCAAGUCAAGGAGAGUUGCAUGAGCUGUUCAGCCUCAUGACCACACUUACCUACACUGUAGGCUCCCAGAUUAAGAGCAGUUGACUGAGCCUUCAGAGCAAGAAUGGUUUCAAAAUAAAAUGCUCUACCCAACAGACGUCAGUGGCACUAACUUACCAUCUCACCUUGUAACAGAAGCAUACUUGCUUAAAGUUUGCUAGAAGAUGUGAUUUGUACCAGUCACACCAGGAGAGUAACAGAAACUUGUAGUGACCUUUCAGUCUCAUGCAGCUUGAAUCAUUUAUUAUGAGUGGAUAAGCGUUCUCCUGGCCUUCUAGAUCAGGGAAAGGAAGAAAGGCAAAAGAAACCUUGGAGUCCUCCAGAAUAUCAGCACAGAAUCAUAGAAUGGUUGGGGUUGGGUUGGAAGAGACCGAAAAGAUCAUCUAGUUCCAACCCCCUGCCACAGGCCUCCCACUAGACCAGGUUGCCCAAAUCCCCAUCCAACCUGGCUUUGAACAUUUCGAGGGAUGGGGUAUCCCUAAUUUCUCUGGGCAACCUGUUUCAGUACCUCACCACCAACACAAUAAAGAAUUUCUUCCUUACAUCUAAUCUAAAUAUACCCGCUUUUAGUUUAAAAUCUUUAUCUCUCAUCCUAUCACUGCAUGCCCUUGUAGAAAGUCUAUCUUUCUUAUAAGUCUUCUUUAAGAAAAGAUGCAGUAAGGUUUCCCUGGAGCCUUCUCUUCUCCAGGCUGAACAACCCCACCUCUCUCAGGCUUUCUUCAUAGGAGAGGCUUUCCAACCCCCUGAUCAUUUUUGCGGCCCUCCUCUGGACUCCCUCUAGCAGGCCCUUGUGUUUCUUGUGAUGGGGGUCUGAGAGCUGGAUGUGGUGGUACUGCAGGUGGGUUCUCAUGAGGAAUAGAGAAAGAGAAAGCAUCUCCAUCUAGGCUCCCAUUCAAGUAUUUCUGCCCUUGGUUAUUGACACUAAACAAGCUCAUGGACGUGCAGAAUAGUAACACGUUAUCAGCAGCUAAUAAAAUUAAACUAGGCUAGACGGUAUUGCUAUACUGAACAAAAUAGAUUCCUCCCUCAAACAGCAAAGACACUAGCACACAAAAUAGCGGUGACACAGACCUUCAGCUAGGAACACAGAUUGGCAGGCCUUGGCAGGAGUGUGUAAAUUCUGUGGUUUGGUCCUAGAGGCUGUGGCUUCAGCCCCAGCUCCCAAUUCCCUACCACAAACCACCAGAGACUGUUCAGAGUAAAUACAAGGCCAGCUUCUAUUCAGCAAGGUCCUGUCAUAUUCAAAUAUUAUCAUGCUAAGGGGCUUCUAGCUUAAAUAUCCUUCCAUAGGCAUGGCAACUGAACACAAGCAAUAGGUAGGAAUGAACUGGCUGGAGCAUGAGCUGGCUGAGACCCAUUCAGCUUGACAGCCAGGGAAAAUGUCUCAGCUGCCUCUCAUCUUCGCAUGAAGCCUGUCUUAUUGGACAGCUAUUUGCGAACACAGCUCAGCUGCUUUCUCUGAAUCAGACAGAGAGGUGUGCAGAUGAUGAUAUUGCCCAGAUUCCAGGAGCACCCUGGGGACCGACACCACGCUCCGUUGGUACUUCCCAUGAACUUAGCUGAAGGUCUGCAUACCAGGAAGGACUGUCUGCUUGCAGUGGUACUAGCAGAGUGGCAGGUGCUUUUGAACCACGCCAUGCUCUGUGGUGGGAUUUCCAACGUCCAAACGUCAUUAACUCAGCCUCUUCUUUCUGAACACUGGGAAUAAGGCAAACCCGCAUGGGCACGAGCGGUCAAAGCUGCCCAGCAUGUUGACACCGGAGCUAGGCUGAUGAAAGUCACACGUGGGGCAGCCCCUGCUUUGCAUUUUGGUGCAGAUGUACACAGAGAAAGGAGCGGAGGCAGAGCUGAGACGGUGGGAAACUUGGCGAGAAGGAGGGAGUCUGUUACUUGAAAUCACUCUACAGCACAUUACAAAUCUGUUAAAUCACUGCGGGUUACCCUGUAUUUCAGAGUAAAUUGGUAACUUUUCAGAGGGAGUGAAGAAACUACCACUCCACUUUUAAAUAAUGAAAAUGCUAAAAAACCUACACUUAACAGCUCUAAAACUGCAGCAAGUCACCCACCAACACCCACUCCUCUUGUCAGCAGGCUUUUUUCAGCUUUGCCUAUUAUUUGCGUGAAGCCAGAGAUGUUUAAUGUUUGCUGCCCUUAUCUGCUCAACUUUAAGGAGCCUCAAACGUUACAAUAUGUACCUGGGCCGCUGACCUGUUUCCCCACAGCACUUUGAUCUAAAUAAGUAACAAACACAGAGUUUCCAAAUCAUUUGGAUUCACUGGCUCUGAGCGCAUAGCUGUAAAAAAUCUGCUUUAAGAUUAACAUCCAAUUUUAUUCAUGCCUGAGGCUUCACCACAGCAUCUAUUUUUGUAAGAUUAACAGCAAGAUCCCAGUUCUCCAGAAAUGUAAAGAGUAACAGCCAGUUGUAAAAGAAAUCUGAUAUUUCCUAAUUUGUCCUGCUCGCAUCCAGGAAGGCUUAUUUUCCCAGACCUUCCAAUGAUGGUUGUAAUUUCUACUUGCAUUUUUGCACCCACGACACGCGGCGUGUGUAUUAAUCCUUCUGCCUCCCAUUUGCUGAAAUGCAUUUCUGAUGAAACUGUGAGUGCCAAAAAACCACUAGUGCAAAUCUCACAUGUGCAAAGUAUCCCCUGAAAGACAGCUUUUACUCUGGAGGAGUUAAGAAACAGUCAUCUUCCUGUACCUUGCACAGAAGCAUUUUGGAUCAUCUAACUUGAAAAUGCAAGUACAUAAAAGGAGCACUUAAUAUUCCAGCUAAUCCAUUUUAAAUUAAUAUACUUGCAAACAUUUCUUUUUAACAUGGGAAUCUGAGGACAAAUUGGGGGCCAUUUUUAACUUUAACAGCAGAAGAAAAGUUGCUUUAAAUAGUGCCUUUGGUAUCUGUCAAUUAGAGCUAUUGCACUGCUGUCAACUUGCGCUCCUUUAGUUCCAGCUUUGCUCCAUCCUACACAGAUCCGUACAAAUCAGUUGUCUCUUCCAAACAUGCACUAACCACUGGAAAGUGAAAUUAAUAAAGUGUGAGAAAAGCUGACUCAUAAAGCUGACACUCCUGUGCCCAACAACUCUGGGUUUCUCCCCUCCAGCUAGCUGUUUGAGAUAGACAGGCAAAGUGGUAAAAGAUUAUCAAAUUGCAACUGUCACUCCUGACAAAAUGCAUCUGAAUGCUGGAAGGAAUUUUAGGUUUUAAGCUAAAGCACCAUCCCAAAGAGUUCCUCAGAGCCUGUCAAUAUCUGUACCUUGGAUGGAAAGCUACCACUGAGCACAGUGCGUCCAACAUAUAGAACCUGCCACGAAAUGAAGUUCUUCGUAAGAAAGCUCAUCUCAGUCUUGGUUGGUAACAAUAACAAGGAGACAAGAUGAGACCAUCAGUCUCAAUUGUGAAGACAAUGUUUUCCUCCCAUAUUAUUCUAUCUGUCAUGUUCCCUUCAGGUUCCAAAGGAAUCCCUGUCUCAUACAUCAUUAUUUCCCACAAAGCUUGAAAGCCUUCAGGGGGGGUUUCUUCCUGCCCACUGUACCAGCCUUGAUGUCUGAGUACCUUCAGAACAGUGACAGAGGCUUCUACCAGCAAUAAAGGGGAACAUCUGCAUACCAAUUAAACUGCUGAGCUCUGAAGAGUUAAAAAAAAAAAAAGAGGAGAAAAAAGCCUUGAAAGUAAAUCUGAGCCAAGUUCUAAUUAAUGCCCUAGGCCCCGAUUCACCACAGCACUUAGGCAUGUAGUUAACUUUAAGCACGUAUUAAGUUCCAUUGAAGUCAAAAGACAGCAUCGAAGAGGCAAACUACAUUAGCACAAUUUAAUACUCUUUGGGCUAAUUAAUCAGCCAUAAAAAUUAACUGUGAGAGUGGUAUUCCUUAUUUUCCUUGCUGUGAUACAGAUAAAAAUGCUUGGAUGUGGUUGGAAUAAGCAAAAAGCAAUACCUUGUUUAGCUGUCUUGGGCUGCUAAGUCCUACAGUUGUAAAGACCAGUCCCAGAGAGCAGCUAAAGGAGCUGAGCUCUCUGCACAUUACAGUCUCGCAGUCUAAUGUACAUACCAUCUACUUGGCAGAGGCACACAGGCACUAAAUACACAGCUCUUGUCUUGAGGAGCAGUAAUCUAAGAAAUGAAAAGAAUUGGCAACAGAUCAGCAAACCCAUCAGGCAACGGAUGGCACAUCAGAGACAGUUUUAUUUUUCUCUAUAAAGAAGUGUUUAUUCACUGCUGUGCAUCAAUGUUAUUUGUGAUGAGAGGUGGCAAGGAAGGGAAGCAAGCAGGGUUGGGUAAACCAGGGGAGCAGAGAGCACAUGCAAGUUUGGUGACUACUGGUGAGGUUACCAAGAGAGGCAGUGUCAGGCAGAGCUGUGGAGAGGGCAGCAGUGCUGGUAUCUAACAGGAAGGUAGACUGGAGUCUGGUCCAGACCUAAAUGUGAGCAAAGACUUAACCCUCUUCAAUUUCAGCAGGUCGGAGCCCCGCAAAAAGGGAGCCCACAGCACCAUCUCCAAAGAGCUGAAUAGUUCCAGGUACAACCAACAAACCAACCGAUUUUUGAGCUCCUGCUGACUUCACAAAGGCAUGUGUACAACAAACCAUUCUGUAAACCGGGAUGCGAGGAGAAAAAGUAGUUGAUAAUCUUCUUGCUGGAAUUUCUGCAAAAACGAAAGCAAGGAAAGUUUCCUCAAGUAUCACCAAGGCUGCACAUGGACCUAUGAAAGCUAGGAAAGUGAGAGCAGGGGACAUCAACUCCCGACUGACAAUACUUCUUUAUCUCAUGCAUUAUGGAAACAAAAAGAAUAAAAACAAACCCCCAAAAUUAGAAUGCCACGAGCAUAAAACAAAGUACCAGUGUGACUUUGCAGAUUAAUUUUGAAUUUCCUUGCUUUCAUUGGUUUAAGAGCCCUAUUGUUACUCUCUUGUUUCUUUAAUUGCAGACACUAAAAAUUCUUUUAUCUUUCAAAGUCCUUAAAGUCUGUUAUAUAAAUACGUAAUUAAAGCCUCUUUCAACUGGGUAUAAUUUACUCUACAGUUUACAACAGCUGCACUAGAGCUAUUACAGUUUAUCAUUUAAAAGCCUAAUUAAGGGCUUCUUAAUUAGUGGAUCCUUCAGUCACUAGACUGUGACUAUGUAAAAGAUGCUUGGCAGCUAUCGCAUGUUACAAAUCUGCAUGAAAUGUUUGCCUGAAAACAGGGGAUGUGCAAGUCCAGAAACACAUUAACUGUCCCAGUAGGUCAGUGCAUCUCAAUGUGCAAACCUCCACAUUAAAGCUACAUUCUCAUCUCCAAGCGCACAGCUCGUUUGCAGACAUGCUUUUCCCUCGUGCACAUGUUGUGGAGAACCACUUCAGUGUCCAGUGCAGGGGCCAGGCUGGGAGACUGCCCAGAGCGGCUCAGUGCCUCCCACUGCACGUCGCACACCUUCCCACGAUUUGCUCUGCCACCCAGCCAUAACUUCAGCCCAAGCUGAAAGCUGAGUCUGUUCCCUGGGCUCCUCAUACAACCUCCUGAAUGCAGGACAGUCAAGCCUGGAAAGGACUACUCUCCAUCUGUUCCUGCGCCCUUUCCCACAGCAUCCCUAGAGCAGCUGCCAGCCUAGCUGGGCUGAGCUGCUAUGCCAGUCCUCUCAGAUGUGGUGAAUCUCAUGUUCAAACACACCCAAGAAGAUGGGGCUGUGCCCACUGGCUGCUCACGCUGGUUCUCACAUGGCUUGUCAAGCGCUUUCUUCAGUGAAUUCCAUUUCUUGCUGUUGCCAUGCUCUCCUCAGCAGCUGUGCCGCUGUGCCGCAUUCAGUGGGAAGCUCCUCCGCCGUGCCCAGAGUACUCACAUCGCUAGGAGGAGGAAGGAAGAUCCAUUUACUGCCUCUCACUUAUAACCACCAACACACAUUUCUCAUUAAUCACCACUAAAUUAGCAGUCCCUCACUGAGAUUUUAAGUGCAAUCUCUGCCCAGGGAUGGUACUGGAACUCCAUCAUCCUUCAC
ensembl:lncRNA